rnacentral:tRNA from 1 species
GGGCGAUUAGCUCAGGGGGGGAGCGCUUCCUUGACGCGGAAGAGGUCAGUGGUUCGAAUCCACUAUCGCCCACCA